rnacentral:rRNA from 1 species
AAAUUGAAGAGUUUGAUCAUGGCUCAGAUUGAACGCUGGCGGCAGGCCUAACACAUGCAAGUCGAACGGUAACAGGAAGAAGCUUGCUUCUUUGCUGACGAGUGGCGGACGGGUGAGUAAUGUCUGGGAAACUGCCUGAUGGAGGGGGAUAACUACUGGAAACGGUAGCUAAUACCGCAUAACGUCGCAAGACCAAAGAGGGGGACCUUCGGGCCUCUUGCCAUCGGAUGUGCCCAGAUGGGAUUAGCUAGUAGGUGGGGUAACGGCUCACCUAGGCGACGAUCCCUAGCUGGUCUGAGAGGAUGACCAGCCACACUGGAACUGAGACACGGUCCAGACUCCUACGGGAGGCAGCAGUGGGGAAUAUUGCACAAUGGGCGCAAGCCUGAUGCAGCCAUGCCGCGUGUAUGAAGAAGGCCUUCGGGUUGUAAAGUACUUUCAGCGGGGAGGAAGGG